UCACUAGUAAUUUUUGCGAAAAAUUUUCUGAUUUGAAGCGAGCCCACACUCGGCAGACGUGAAUUUGAGGAUAACAAAAAAGACUACUGCAUCGAAGAGCUCAUCCUAGACGAAUCGGAGAGGUACAAUUUUGAUUAAAUGUUUAUUACUUUAGAUAUCACAACUAAGACCUUAUUUUGGAGAAAAUUUUAAAACUCUAUUUUCUCUAAAUUUAUUUUCUUCUGCGUUUUCCAAACCUGUUUUUUUCAACACAUGUCAUGUUGAUGUACAAAAACUUUUUUUAAUAGUAAAAAUAUAUAAUUUUUUAAUAAAAUGACAAAUUAACUAUUUGAUCUAAUAUAUAGAGACUAAUUUACCUAAGGGCGAAGCCAGAAUAAUUUUUUAGAGCUUAAAUAAAAAAAAUUCAUUUUAGGAGAGAUCGGUCCUCUACCAACCCCUAGAUUCGCCUCUAAAUUUACCUUUUAAUAGAAAAAAAAACAAUUAAAGUCAUAGUAAAAAAUCUUCAUUAUACCUUUACCUCUUCUGCGUAAAGAAUUAAACCUUCUUCCUAGCCCAUCAAAAUGAUCAAGUAUAAAAGCAUUACUUCAUACUCCCUACAGAUAUAAUAUUAAUUCAGAAAUUGCAAUGGAAAUGAUGAAAAUAUAUUAAGCGAUAAUGGAUAUCAAAAAGUAAACAACAACAAAAAAAGAGAAUAAAGAGGACCCACUGAUGAGUUGGAUCCAAGGUUAUCCAUAUCCCUAUCUCAGUCAACUCUUUUUCCCCCUCUUCUCUAUCCAUUUAUUCACCCAUUUUUUGUUCUUUGGAUAAUAAUAUGUCAUUUUAUUAUAUUAUUCAAUAAUAGUGUGUAUAAAUACAGUGUAACCCUUAAAAAUAUAGACAUAUUCCAUUGACGACCCUACAGCCAGAUAAAGACACCUUAGCGGCAAAAAAAAAAAAAAAAACUGGAAACAACUUAGCGGCAAAAGAUAAAAAAUUAAAACAAGUUCACUUAGGUGGCAAAAAAGAAUUUUCUGAUUUUACCGCAAAUAGUAUCGAAAGUUCCCCCUCUUUUUUCUAAUUAUAAAUAGCACUUCACACUUUCACAUUAUAUAAUUGAAAACUCGAAACAGUAAGGAAAAAAAAAUUGGUCUGUACGGAGUUAUUACCGGAUCUGAUUCCCGGUUUACCAGAGGAAAUCGGAAACGAGUGCUUGACUCGGUUUCAUUAUUCAACUCACAGACUCGCAGUUCGGGUUUGUCGACGAUGGCAAGAGCUUCUCCAAAGCAAAGAGUUUUAC
rnacentral:lncRNA from 1 species